rnacentral:pre_miRNA from 1 species
UCUUGUGAAUGAGCAAAGAAACUGGUUUCUUGAGAUGGAAUCUAUUCCUGCUGGAGAUGCUGUGAA